AAACCCUUUCAUUUCGACC
rnacentral:rRNA from 1 species